UACAGAGGGUGCGAGCGUUGUUCGGAAUUACUGGGCGUAAAGCGCACGUAGGCGGAUCUUUAAGUCAGGGGUGAAAUCCUGGAGCUCAACUCCAGAACUGCCUUUGAUACUGAGGACCUUGAGUUCGGGAGAGGUGAGUGGAACUGCGAGUGUAGAGGUGAAAUUCGUAGAUAUUCGCAAGAACACCAGUGGCGAAGGCGGCUCACUGGCCCGAUACUGACGCUGAGGUGCGAAAGCGUGGGGAGCAAACAGG
rnacentral:rRNA from 1 species